GGCAACGUGGCCGAGUGGUCUAAGGCGCUGGAAUUAGGUAACCCAUUGGGAAGCUUUCCAUCCAGUCCGAAAGGGCGUGAGUUCGAACCUCACCGUUGUCA
rfam:Hebeloma cylindrosporum h7 unplaced genomic scaffold scaffold_16, whole genome shotgun sequence.